rnacentral:misc_RNA from 1 species
GAAAUUUGGCGCAAGCGCAGAAAUGUGUGUACAAAUUUUGGUUUCUAACCAAGCAGAUGUAGGAUUUAUUUAAGCACAGCUGUGGCAUAGGUAAGCCGAGCCAUGCCAGGAAAGCUAGAGUUUCGUGUUGUCCAUGUGUCUGGCCAAGAUGAUGGUUUCAAGGCCACUGAACUGAAUACUCAUUCACCCACCACCAAGGGGUGGCAGUCUUCAAGAUUCUGCCUUUAUCCACAAGACAUGGUUUUACAGUUAGACAAGAAAUCUCGAAUGAGGAAACUUCAGAUUCUUGUUCAUCAGUACAACAUUGCCACAAAGAUAGAGUUUUAUGUUGGAGAUGUUCCAGAAGACACUCCUGUUACACUUCAGAAUGCUAGAUAUACACGCCUGGGGUAUGUCUGCAUGUCAGAUAACGAGAAAACGGGCUUCAAAGCCAGGGAGUUGAAGAGCGUGCACGUGGAUGCUGUCGGCUCCUUUCUUAAACUAGUCAUUCAUAAAAAUCAUGUCAACAAGCACAAUUUAUAUAAUCAGGUUGGCAUCAUAGCGGUGAAUGUGAUAGGAGAUGAGAUCAAAAAUAUUUAUGACCCAAGUAACUUGGAAGGAGAUCCGUACAUAGAUGAUCCCAGAUUGAAGCAGGACCCUGCCUUGGCUGGUUUACUGAAUAAGCCAGAUUAUAUCUCUCCACUGGACGAUCUGGCAUUUGACAUGUACCAGGAUCCUGAAGUGGCACAGAUUAUCAGGAAGCUUGAACGCAAGAAGCAAGAGGCUGUUCUAGAGGAAAGAUAUGACUUUGCCAAGAAGGUGAAGCAGGCAAUAACAGACCUACAAAAGGUGGGAGAAAAGUUAGGUAAGAUGGAAGUAGAAAAACGCCAGGCGGUGGAGAGCGAGGAUUACGACAAAGCCAAGUUAAAGAAGGUGCAGAUGGAUGAAUACAGGCUUCAGGUGUACAAACAGCUUCAACUCCACGAUCUGCUGGAAGUUUCAGGGUCAAAGCAUCCUCAGCCAGUGACCAUUGAACCUGUGAGGCAGCAAACUCCACCCCCAAAAUUGGAGCGACUGGAGAAAACACCAACCCCUCCCCCUCUCCCACCUCCAGAAAGCCGCUCGGGAAAGCUCCCCUAUGAUGAGAGACCUCUUCCAGCUUUAAAAAAAACACAAAGCCCCAGAGAUGUUGAAGACGAGGCUGAAGGAAGUGGCUCGCCCCCGCCAACUGCCAGACAGCCCCCUCCAGCAGAAUCGCCGCCUCCGCCAUUGGAUGAAAGUGGUGGCACUGGCGGAGGAACAGGGGGAGGAAUCACAGAAGGACCAGAAGAAAUGAGUGAAAAAGAUCUCCGCGAGGCCAGCAUUCUUAUUGACGUGUUUGGGCAGCCAUUGGCUGCCAAAGCCUAUUCCAAAACUUGGAGUUUCCGAGAAGAUGCCAUAAAUUCUGUCCAAAAGGAGCUGCGCGACCUACCUACCAGCUCUCCUAAAGAAGAGACCAGAAACAUGCUGCGGGCAGCCAUUUUUCUAGUUCAACGAGGGAUCAAGGAUAAAGUGCAAGCGGUAUUCAAGGCAGCCCUGAGUCUUCUGCGGUUUAUUCUCAAAGAUUUUAUUUCAUUGCACAAACUUGGCAAAUCAGAAACUUCUUAUGCUGUUGAAAAGACGCUUCCAGGCUUAAUACAAAGGAGCGGAGACACAGCUGCUAGAAUCAGGGAUGAAGCCAAAGCAUUUGUUUUAGACAUAGCACAAUACCCAGAUGUCAAGGCUACCCACCUUGUACCCAGUGAGUGUACAAAGCCAUUCAAGCCCUCAGCGGCGCCCCGCCUCUCACUCAGCAAGACAGAGAUAGUAGAGCAGCUUUACCGAGACUUAGGAUUGGAAAACAACGGCCUGACAGUUGACAACUUGAUGAAGUUUUGCGUGGCUGCUCUGCAGCACAAUAAUGGGGAGAUACGCCAUGUGGCCGAACGCAUCAUCAUAGACUUGUACAAGACAGUUGGUGCUCCCGUCAAAGACUUCCUGCCACCAGAUGAUGAUAAAACUAGGAAAAACACUCUCUACAGACAAAUAUUUGAGGCCUUUGAUAAGAUUGAUGGGAAGCCUUCGAAAGAGGAACUGAAGAGACAGAAAGCAGAGGAGGAAAAGAAGAAAGCAGCAGAAAUUGAAGCUCUCCAGGCUCAGUUAGCAGCUUUAAAAGAUCUCUCGAAAAGCAGUGGGGUGUUGAUGAGCAUGAGGCAAUUCCCCUUGAUGUCUGAUGGAAUAGGGAGUUAAUUAAUUAUUCCUGGAGAUAAGGGCUAUCAAGAAGCAUGACUGUAUGAAGAGAUAAGGGAAAGCAUGAUAGGAGAUCGUCUGCCUGCUGAAGACACUGGGAAGGGUGGAACCAAUGUGAAGGAUGACAAAAAGAAGCCAAAGGGGGCGCCACAUGCCAAGCC